AUAUUGCACAACGUGCGAAAGCCUGAUCCAGCCAUGCCUCGUGUGGGAGGCAGGUGUUCGGAUUCUAAUGCACUUUUAGUAGUGAGGAAUGGCCGUUAGUUAAUUCCUUUCUGUUUUGACGUUACCUACAGAAUGAGCACCGUCCAACUUCGUGCCAGCAGCCGCGGUACUACGAAGGGUGCAAGCGUUAAGCGGAAUUACUGGUAGUAAAGGGAGCGUUAGUGGUUUGUUAAGUUGGAAGUAAAAGUCCCAGGCUCAACCUGAGAACUGCUUUCAAAACUGGCAAGAUAGAGUAUGGGAGAGGGUGGUGGAAGUUGCUGUGUAGCGGUGAAAUGGGUAGAUAUAGGAAGGAAGAAGAGUGGCGAAGGCGACCACCUGGGAUAAUACUGCAACUGAGAUGCGAAAGCGUGGGGAGCAAAAAG
rnacentral:rRNA from 1 species